GAUGAACGCUGGCGGCGUGCCUAAUACAUGCAAGUCGAGCGAACAGGCGAGGAGCUUGCUCCUCUGACGUUAGCGGCGGACGGGUGAGUAACACGCGGAUAACCUACCUAUAAGACUGGGAUAACUUCGGGAAACCGGAGCUAAUACCGGAUAAUAUAUUGAACCGCAUGGUUCAAUAGUGAAAGACGGUUUUGCUGUCACUUAUAGAUGGAUCCGCGCCGCAUUAGCUAGUUGGUAAGGUAACGGCUUGCCAAGGCAACGAUGCGUAGCCGACCUGAGAGGGUGAUCGGCCACACUGGAACUGAGACACGGUCCAGACUCCUACGGGAGGCAGCAGUAGGGAAUCUUCCGCAAUGGGCGAAAGCCUGACGGAGCAACGCCGCGUGAGUGAUGAAGGUCUUCGGAUCGUAAAACUCUGUUAUUAGGGAAGAACAAAUGUGUAAGUAACUAUGCACGUCUUGACGGUACCUAAUCAGAAAGCCACGGCUAACUACGUG
rnacentral:rRNA from 1 species